GUGGAAAAUGGUGAAGUGAUUGCCAUGUUGAUAUAGCAAAAUGCCUUUUUGAUGCUAUCUCUAGAAUGGAGAAGGCUGCUGAGCAAGGAAGUGCAAUUGCUGCGCAGUGGAAGGAGUUGAACGCCAGUGGGGAAACAAUGCACCAUAUGCCUUCAUAGAAACUUUGAGGAGCAGAUGUUCAAAGCCGUCAUUGUCAACUAUUUCUGAAAAUUCAAAGGUUGCAAUUGUUUCAUCAUCGGAUCCUGUCUGUGUUGCUGCAAAAAAGAUGCGAGAUCUGCGAGUUUAGUUCAGUUGUUAUA